AGUGGCUGUCGUCAGCUCGUGUCGUGAGAUGUUGGGUUAAGUCCCGCAACGAGCGCAACCCCUGUCCCAUGUUGCCAGCAUUAAGUUGGGGACUCAUGGGAGACUGCCGGCGUCAAGCCGGAGGAAGGUGGGGAUGACGUCAAGUCAUCAUGCCCCUUAUGUCUUGGGCUGCACACGUGCUACAAUGGCCGGUACAAUGGGCUGCGAUGGGGUGACCCGGAGCGAAUCCCACAAAACCGGCCCCAGUUCGGAUCGAAGGCUGCAACUCGCCUUCGUGAAGUCGGAGUUGCUAGUAAUCGCGGAUCAGCAUGCCCGCGGUUCCGAAUACGUUCCGGGCCUU
rnacentral:rRNA from 1 species